CGGCGAGGAGGUGGGCGAGCAGAGGAGGCUAGCAGAGGAAGUGGGAGGCAGUGGUGGAGGUGGUAGCGGGAUGGCCCUGGCCCUGAGGAAGGCGGCUUGACUGCAUUUUUUAAUUCUAUACCACCCUUUGUCCUGAGACGCCAGGUUGAUGAACCUACAAUUGAAAACAAUAAUAGUUUAAUUAAAAAUAUCCUUAAAAUGGAUAAAGCUACAGACAGCAAAA